rnacentral:lncRNA from 1 species
UUCCAGUUCCUCCUCUGCCUCUCUUCCAUCUCUCUCUGUCUCUCCUUCCUCUUUCCUGUCUCUGUCCUUCCUCUUCUGUCUCUCUUCCAUUUCUCUCCCUGUGUCUCUCCUUCCUCUUUCCUGUCUCUGUCCUUCCUCUUCUGUCUCUCUUCCAUUUCUCUCCCUGUGUCUCUCCUUCCUCUUUCCUGUCUCUGUCCUUCCUCCUCUGUCUCUCUUCCAUUUCUCUCCCUGUGUCUCUCCUUCCUCUUUCCUGUCUCUGUCCUUCCUCUUCUGUCUCUCUUCCAUUUCUCUCCCUGUGUCUCUCCCUCCUCUUUCCUGUCUCUGUCCUUCCUCUUCUGUCUCUCUUCCAUUUCUCUCCCUGUGUCUCCCCCUCCUCUUUCCUGUCUGUCCUCCCUCUUCUGUCUCUCUUCCAUUUCUCUCCCUGUGUCUCU